GACGAACGCUGGCGGCGUGCCUAAUACAUGCAAGUCGAACGCUUUUUCUUUCACCGGAGCUUGCUCCACCGAAAGAAAAAGAGUGGCGAACGGGUGAGUAACACGUGGGUAACCUGCCCAUCAGAAGGGGAUAACACUUGGAAACAGGUGCUAAUACCGUAUAACACUAUUUUCCGCAUGGAAGGAAGUUGAAAGGCGCUUUUGCGUCACUGAUGGAUGGACCCGCGGUGCAUUAGCUAGUUGGUGAGGUAACGGCUCACCAAGGCAACGAUGCAUAGCCGACCUGAGAGGGUGAUCGGCCACACUGGGACUGAGACACGGCCCAGACUCCUACGGGAGGCAGCAGUAGGGAAUCUUCGGCAAUGGACGAAAGUCUGACCGAGCAACGCCGCGUGAGUGAAGAAGGUUUUCGGAUCGUAAAACUCUGUUGUUAGAGAAGAACAAGGAUGAGAGUAAAACGUUCAUCCCUU
rnacentral:rRNA from 1 species